GUGCCAGCCGCCGCGGUAAUACGGAAGAUGCGAGCGUUAUCCGGAUUCAUUGGGUUUAAAGGGAGCGUAGGCGGGAUGAUAAGCCGGCGGUGAAAUGUCAGGGCCCAACCCUGGCCUGCCGUCGGAACUGUCAUUCUUGAAUGCACACAAGGAAGGUGGAAUUCGUCGUGUAGCGGUGAAAUGCUUAGAUAUGACGAGGAACUCCGAUUGCGAAGGCAGCCUUCUGGGGUGCUAUUGACGCUGAGGCUCGAAAGCGCGGGUAUCAAACAGGAUUAGAUACCCUGGUAGUCCGCGCCGUAAACGAUGGAUGCUGGUCAUCGGCGACAUGCUGUCGGUGACUGAGGGAAACCAUUAAGCAUCCCACCUGGGGAGUACGCCGGCAACGGUGAAACUCAAAGGAAUUGACGGGGGCCCGCACAAGCGGAGGAACAUGUGGUUUAAUUCGAUGAUACGCGAGGAACCUUACCCGGGCUUGAAUUGUGCAGGAAGGGAGCCAGAGACGGCUUCCGUCUUCGGACCUGCAUGAAGGUGCUGCAUGGUUGUCGUCAGCUCGUGCCGUGAGGUGUCGGCUUAAGUGCCAUAACGAGCGCAACCCCUGCCGUCAGUUGCCAUCACGUAAAGGUGGGCACUCUGUCGGGACUGCCGUCGCAAGGCGUGAGGAAGGUGGGGAUGACGUCAAAUCAGCACGGCCCUUACGUCCGGGGCUACACACGUGUUACAAUGGGGGGCACAGCGCGCAGCUGCCGUGCGAGCGGCGGCGAAUCGUGAAAUCCCCUCUCAGUUCGGACUGGAGUCUGCAACCCGACUCCACGAAGCUGGAUUCGCUAGUAAUCGCGCAUCAGCCAUGGCGCGGUGAAUACGUUCCCGGGCCUUGUACACACCGCCCGU
rnacentral:rRNA from 1 species